CCUACGGGGGGCUGCAGUGGGGAAUAUUGCACAAUGGGGGAAACCCUGAUGCAGCGACGCCGCGUGAGUGAAGAAGUAAUUCGUUAUGUAAAGCUCUAUCAGCAGGGAAGAAAAUGACGGUACCUGAGUAAGAAGCCCCGGCUAACUACGUGCCAGCAGCCGCGGUAAUACGUAGGGGCAAGCCGUAUCCGGGUGUACUGGGUGUAAAGGGGGCGUAGACGGCAGUGCAAGGCUGGAGGGAAAGGCGGGGGCUCAACCCCCGGACUGCUCUGGAAACUGUACGGCUGGAGUGCAGGAGAGGUAAGUGGAAUUCCUAGUGUAGCGGUGAAAUGCGUAGAUAUUAGGAGGAACACCAGUGGCGAAGGCGGCUUACUGGACUGUAACUGACGUUGAGGCUCGAAAGCGUGGGGAGCAAACAGGAUUAGAUACCCUGGUAGUC
rnacentral:rRNA from 1 species